UCUAACUCGUCGGUAGUCAUCGU
rnacentral:miRNA from 1 species